UGCGUAGGCGGCGCGGUAAGUCGGGUGUGAAAUCUCGGAGCUUAACUUCGAAACUGCAUUCGAUACUGCCGUGCUUGAGGACUGGAGAGGAGACUGGAAUUUACGGUGUAGCGGUGAAAUGCGUAGAUAUCGUAAGGAAGACCAGUGGCGAAGGCGGGUCUCUGGACAGUUCCUGACGCUGAGGCACGAAGGCCAGGGAGCAAACG
rnacentral:rRNA from 1 species